GUCCACGCCCUAAACGAUGGAUACUCGACAUCAGCGAUACACUGUUGGUGUCUGAGCGAAAGCAUUAAGUAUCCCACCUGGGAAGUACGAUCGCAAGAUUGAAACUCAAAGGAAUUGACGGGGUCGGCACAAGCGGUGGAGCAUGUGGUUUAAUUUACGAUGAUACGCGAGGGAACCUUAACCCUGGGCGUAGAAUGUCGGGGGAAGUAUGGGUGGAAAGACUCAUAGUAUAGCAAUAUACCGCCGAUAAGGUGCUGCAUGGCUGUCGU
rnacentral:rRNA from 1 species